CCCCCCAGCGCCGCGCCGCGCCGCCGGUCGGGAAACGCGCUCAAAGUCCGGAGCCGCCGGCUGGAAACCCCCGAUCGAGGCCGCGCGGGGAGCCCCGGCCGCCGAGGGGCGGCGGCGGCUCGACCCGCGCGCAGGCGGCACCGCGCAAGCCGCCCGCGCCCCGGCGCGCCGCGCGCAGCCGCAGGGAGGCGCCGCGUUACCUUCAACAGGUGCCGGCGGCGGAGGGGGCGCUGCCCGCGGGCGCGGACCGGCGGCGCGGCGCGGCGCGGGCGGAGCGGAGUGGCGGCGCCGGGCCCCGCGGGUCCGGCAGCGCAGCGCGGGGCGGGCGGCGGCGCCGCGCUCGGCCGAGGCGCCCGGCGCUGCGGCGACCCCGGCCGCUGCCCGUGCCCCGGCGGCGCCACGGCAGCAGCCGCGCUCGAGUCGGCGCGACGGCAGCGGCCGCCGCCGAGAGGAAGGAGGAGAGCGGCAGGGAGGGAGGGAGAGGGAGAGCAGAGAGAAACCGCCCCGAGAGGAACCGGUCAUCGCAUGACGAUCGCGAUCCGCCGCCCCCCGACAGCCCGAGCCGGCGCCGGGAGGACAGAGGAAUCAGAAGCAAAUCCGCAAGACAUGCAAUUGAAGAAUGACUUUUUCCUACUCAAUUUCUUAAAGAAUUCCAGAUCUUCAUCAACAUUCUGCUAAUGCAGUCCGAGAAAAACUGACUUCUGUGCUCUGAGCAUCUGAGCAAGAAUUGUCAUUAAAAUUAUUUGUCAUCAUUGGUGUUACUUUCUAAGUGAACUCCACAGUGCUAAUCUACCCCUCAAAGAGAAGCUGCUGUUUAUUAUAGAAAAAAAAGACAAUAAACCAAUUGUAGUAUUGGA